AUGCAUGAAGAGGGUUCGCUUGAAAUGCAAGCAUUGACCAAAUUAUAUAAAUGAGGUGGUCAUAUAAGCGAAACUAGAAGAUUAGAGAUCAGAUGACAAGCAAUCAGAGAACACAGUCCAUCCGUUCAUCUUCAAACCUACUGUUCUUCAAGAUCUCAUCAAACAACAACAUCUAGAACACUCCGUUUACGUCAGAUAAAAUCGACUAAAAAUCGGAUUGGUUUUGACUAGUUUCGGAUCAUGAUUUGAACAUUCUGAUUGAUUUCAAUCUGUUUUGAUGAAUUUUGUUAAGUUCGGACUGUUUUUGAUCGAAUUUCUAUUUGAUUUGGUGUGAUUGGAAUCAAGUUUUAGUAAGUUUUGGACUGUUUAGAUCUGAAUCUGAGAAUUAAGUUCUUAAAAUUUUCGAAACUUUACAUCAAUUUUGGCUGGAUUUAAAUUGAUUAGUUCUUGUGAUAUAAUCUGUGCUGGUUUAAAAAAACAAAUCUGAAUCUGAUCGCAUGUGUUGUUCAAAUUAAAAACGAAAUUGAAUCUGAAUUGUUGUUGUGAAUUUCGAUUAAAGUUUCCAACUGAACUAAAUCAAUUUGGGACUGUCUUAUGUGACUUUCGGUGAAUUUUGAACAUUUUCGACGAAUUGUUUGUAGAUUCCAGACUGAUUCAACGUGUUUCGUUGAUUAUCGGUUUGAUUCGAUUGAAAUUUCGAUCACUUCGGAUAUUUUAUAUCGAAGUUUCAAUCAUUUCUGAUUUGUAUCAGUGUUUUCGAAUCUGUAUUAGUGAUUCACAAACUGUCUUUCUUGAUCAAAAUCAGUUGAAGGUAGAUGAACGUAGUAUAAAAUCAUAUAUAAUCAACAAACAGUUAGUAAACGUGUUACUGAAUCUGAGUUUCGGUGAAAUCGGACAUAUUUCAGCUUGUAGAGAUCAUUUUUUUUGGGCUGAUUUUCAUUGUUGUUUGAAUCAAAAGUUUUAUCAGUUGAAGAUUGAGUUGUAUGAUCUGAUUUUUGUUGAUUGUGACUGUUGAAGGAUUGUUUUUGAUAAUUCAGGUCUGAGUUGAGUUUUGUGAAAUAAAAAAUCGAAUAGAAGUUGCUGGUGUGAGUCGAUAAAUUAGAGAUAGAUAUCAGGGUUAAUUGUUGAUUGUUCUUCUGUUCAAAUCAAAGAAGUAGCAGUGAUGAUUGUUUGAGUGGUUUGAAGUUGGUCGUUAAAACAAGAAGUUGUAUUUUUAAAACGGAAAAAUAGAAAAUCUGUUGUGUGUUUGCUUGUGUCGAUUGUAGGGUCAUAAUAUCGAAAGUUUUUUGAAAAGACAUUAUAGUAGGUAAUAUUGUGAAAUCGAAAGGUGGGUAUAAGACAAAAGGUUUGAUAAUUGUUGACAGUUUAUAAAAAUCUCGAGAGAUAAGGAAAUUUUGAUAGAAUCAAUUCAUUAUCAUUAUCAUUUUGUAACAUAGUUGGGCAAUAAGUGGUUAUACUUUAUGCAUCAACUGUUUUCUUUGCUCAUAUAUAUUAUACAGUGUGUUGUGUUAGUUGUACUGGAUUUAGUUUGCCGAAGAAGCCCUACUUUUAACUCAUCAUAUACGUGUAACCAAGACAGGAGGAAAAAUGAUGGGAUGUGGAUUUGAGAGAGAAAAAGAGGAGUCUGAGAGUCUCCUACUCUCCUCGCUUCCACCGCCGACGACGACAUCAUCUCCGCUUCCACACGGUCACCGCCAACUCACCUCUCAACUCCGACGACCCACCUCUCCACUCCGACGACAUCAUCUUCUCCACUUCCACGCGGACCAAGUCGUCUUCUUCUUUUUUUUUCACACGGAGGUCACCAGCGACUCACCUCGCCACUUCGACGACAUACCUCACCAUUCCGACGACAUCAAGCAAUUUCACGCAGACCUAGAUGCUUUUGAGCUUCGUAAAGUGAAAAACUGCGCUAAUUUCAGGUUCAUUGGUAGAUACUUUAGAUUCUGAGUGUGUUCUUUGACGCUGGUGUUUGUCCAGGUUAGGCUCUGUUUAUUUGUUGGAUACAGAUCGUUUGAGUUAAUUUUGUUGGCUUUGUAGGCCAAUGAAAAUAAUGCUACCGUAAUGUCGACAUCAGAUAGGUCCGGAAACCAUCAUCGAGUCAUCAAAUUCUUUUUAUUUACGUCUCAGGGGUUAGUAAAUGUCAAUUUUAAGUAGGCUGGGUAUCGAGACCAUGAAAUUCAGUGCCGGUUGCAGUUACGGUUUCAGGGAGAGAGCGAUUUGGAUUUGAUGUCUAAGAUGGGUUCUCUGUUGACUUAUGGCUAAUAAUUUUUACCUCUUGGAGCGUAUUGUUGACGUAGUUUGGUACCCUGUUGAUUUAUAGUUUAGUAAACUAUUUAUAAAUAUAAAAGAUUCAUUCGACGAAUUAGUUUUUGCUUACAAUGCUAUUUCAUGAUCAUCGAGGGGGCACUAUUUAUCUCAUCGCCUUCUUCACAACGUCUUCUUCGUGCAUUCAAGAACCGUUUUCGCUCCACUGAUAAGUUUUGGAGUGUUUGAAAUGUCUCCGUGUGGACUAAAAACGGCCAAGAAUCCCAGCGAGAUUUUUUUGAGUGAAGAAGCUCAGAUUCGGAAUUCUUGGCAGGUCUUGCAAUUGGUUGUAAUUAUAGAUAGUGUUUUCAUAAUAAAAUAGGCAUUCGAGAAUAGUUACAAUAUAAACGCAGGGCAUAUAUAUUAAGCACAUCUUGGUGUCAAGUAAUAACCGAUAAAUUUUUUAUAUGUUAUACCAUAUAUGAUACUUAUCUUUUAAGUUUAAAGUGUAACAUAUAUAUGAUACUAAUUCACGUCAUAUUAAUAUUUCCUAAAGGUGACACUGGUUAAAGAUUGUUUACUUUCUUGUAUGUAUCAGGUGGCGUCACUGAUAAAAAAAAAAAGAUUGUUAACUUUCCUAUACAUAUGUAAUAUAUUUGUUUUAUAUUAAAAGUUGUAUUGUUUUCUUUUACUAAUUCAUACAUGUUUUCAGUAGGUCCUUAUGAAGCAAGCCUGUCCCAAGCUUCAGUCAAAUGUAAGAUUGUUGUUUCUUUCCAUCCGCUUGAUAGAAAUGAUUCUAAGUUCUUUUCAUUCUAAGCUAAAUAUUGGUUAGUUGUAAAUUACAAUCGAUUUUCUUGAAUGUUAACAGUAGGGCUACACUAACUGAAACUUUGAUCUGGAAGUUUCAGCAACAACAAAUAUGUAGCAGGCAUGUUGUAUAGUUUUCUGUUUUUACAACUUAAAUCUGCAAAAUGUUUUAUCUAAAAUCCAUUUGUGUUUUGUGGGGGCCAGUUUUCUCGAGUUUCCUAUCCCUAGAAACAUGGUGUUCAGUGGUGGUGAUGAGUGUGUGUGGGGAGACCACCGCACAGGGCCUGUGAUUUUGAGGGGCACAUGUUUUUUUUAAAUAGUAUACCCAUACCAUCUCUAAGAUAUGCCCAUUUACAAAACAGUUUUUAUGGUCUAUAAGUUUGCCUAUUGGCAUUAGGUUUAGUGAGUCAAAUACCCAUUUGAUUUAAGAAAAUAAUAAAUAUAAACAUUACGAUAGAGCACAACUUUUCGAGCUCGAACAGGGUACAUGAAUUCUCCGAGAUGUAUUUGAUGGUGUUCGCUGGAGUUGUUGGGCUUGGUGGCGAGCUUCAUAAGGUGAGUAUUUAGUAAUCUUUGUUCGGUUAAAGAAACACACAUACUGAUGAUGGUAGUUGCGUGUACCAAAAAUGGAGAAGAGGGUGAGUACAUUGGCCAAACUGGGGUUUAAAAAAUGAAUUGUGCUGGAACCGGCCGGGAAAUUGUUGAGGGGAUUUGAUUUUGAGGUUUUGGGGUGUAGAAAAUUGAAAGAUGUUAUAAAGAGUGUGUUUAUAACAAGUUGAGAGCUUCUUAUGGUACUCUUUUGGAUCAUAUUGGUACAGUGUCGUUUGAAUAUUUCAUUAACAAAGUUUUACUACCUUUUAGGAGACAAAGUGGUUGAUUUUCAAAAUUUACCAGAAGUAUUCAGGAUGUGAAGCUUAUGGGCUAAGGUAGAGAGAGGGAGCUUAGGUAUCGAGACAGAGAUGGACAAAGGCGGGUAGGUGGCUCUCAUAUGGUUAUGUUGGCGGUGGUGUUAGUCUGGAAUACAAAAAAAACAACUAACAUGGUUAUGUUGUGGCUACCGUCGGUGGGACGUCUGGUGGUGGUCUAAAGGCUGGGCUUUUGUAAUUAUGGGAGGCUUUGUUAAACGCUAAAUAAGCAUUCACGCCUUUGUCACUGGCACCACAUUUUUCAGCCGCAUUUUUCGGCUUCUAGAUGAUAUGUAGAAUACCAUGCCAUGAAUAGUUAUUCUUACUAAUAUGUGUACACAAUGGAUUUAUUAUAAUCCGCGCUAAAUAAAAGCUGAGAGACGCAACGACUCGGCUCGAUUUAGUAUGACGUAUGCGCACGCUUUAACGUGAUGUCCGCACGUGUUGUCCGCGGCGCAACGCCCGCGGGUUAUUAUCCUAGUUUAAUAUUAAUUUUGAUUAAUGUUUUGAAAA